UGCCAACUCCGGAAGGGAGGGGGCGAUUAUAGAGUGAUCUAAGAAAUCCUUUGAUCCCAGAGCCUGUGGCUUACUCUCAACCCAACGGGGCGUCACUGCCUUAAUGGGAGGCGCACUCAAAGGGAGAGAUAGAAACUAGCUAGCCCUAAACUCUGCAAGUGUCAACCCCUUUCCUAUAAAGGGGUCACCCACGCCCACCACCACCCUCCACCGCGUGACUGCCUUUACAGCCCAUCUUGGUCGCCGGAAACUUGAUUUCCCCAAGUGGGAAUUUGGAAUUCGGUCUUUGGAAAUCCACCAAGAUGGGAUUGUCCAAGAGAACUCAGAACCAAGACACCUACCGGUCUGGGGACAGAGUUCUUGCUGCCCCCUCAAUCCCCCUCCUCGGGAAGCGCCCUAUCAGCUCAGGGCAUCCUCUCUGCCUGGGCUCCUCCCUAAGUCCAUCACCCCUUCCUAUCACUCAGAUCCAGUCUCAGCAUCCACGGCUACAGUGUUCCGUGGCAGAAACUGAAGCUUGUUGUUGCUAGGCUUUAGGACAGGCAUACCAGCAGACGGGUGGCAAGAAUGAGGACCACAUCUAAACAAACUUGGCUUGAGGAUA
rnacentral:lncRNA from 1 species